AUACAGCUGACGAGUCCAAAACAGAACGGAACGCACCUCCUGGAU
rnacentral:hammerhead_ribozyme from 1 species